AUAAGACCAAUCUGUCUUUCUUUCAUCCAUUCUUUUCUCCCGUCCAUCUGUGAAAUUGAAAACCAAAUUUGAAAUUUCCAAAUCCAAUUAACCCUAAAUCUUCCCCCUAUGCUCACGGCGGAGGCAGCUGCUCAGGUACACGAGGGCAUAAAUUUGGCGAUCUCCCGAUGGGCUUCUCUUCGAAUGGCUGUCGAGAAUGAGUGGGGGCGGUUGUGAUUCUGCCCAGAAAUCCCAACAACUCGCCCCAAGUUAUCUUUCACACCUCGUUCAAUCCAAAGGUAUUUUCUUUAUUCGUAUUUCAUUGAAGGAUUGAUAUCUUCGUGCUUGUACUUUUCUACCAACGCCAAGUAAAAUAUAUCUUCUUUAAGAUGUUAAUGUUUAUCGUUAAGCUUUUCUGCAAUCUUAAUAACUCGAGGGCUGUCAACAAUUUGAAUAACAAAGUUAUGCUGAGCAACUUCUUAAAUUACUUUCUUAACUUCUAUAACAGCAACUUCUAAAACCUGCUCAGCACUAACACACACACACACAGAGAAGAGGGACGGGACCUGCAGAAAUCGGAGAAGGGGGAAUUACGGAAGGCAGAGCGAGAGGAAGAGCGAGAAUUGGCUCCCCAACCCAUGCCUAGGGUUUUCUGGGUUGUAUUCUUCUUCUUCUUAUCAUUCUUCGUACUUUUAGCACCACUGCUACUGGUUUUGUUAGAAGGAUUAGAAGAGAUUGAAUUGAAGCCCCGUUUCGAAUUCGAAACAGAGUUUCCGGAGCGAGUCGAAUCGAAACUCAUCUUCACGAAUCACGAAUUAUGCAAUUGCAUUUUGAGAUGUUCAGAGAUUAAAAAAUAUUAAGAAACUUGCAGAGAAUGCAUUUGAAAUGAAUAGGAAAUUUUCUUAUAAUUUUGAGUUUACAUUUAACCACCGAUCGACCAUUUGCGGGAGCGGGACGAGAUUGCCUGCAGUGCUAUGCGGUGCAAUGUUUUGAUCACUAUAUUCCAUAGAAAAAAUAUAUGAAAAAGGAAAAAAGAAAAAGAACUAAAAAUUUAGCCCCUGGUUGGCCUUCAUUAAUUUCUAUUUCAUUAAAUUUCUUUUUUUUCUCUCCUACUUUUAACCACACAAUCUUCCAUAAAAUAAUAUUACACGUAAAGCGAAAAAUUUUCUUUCUUUUUCAACUACUCAUUUUUCACAAAAACAAUAUUCCACCCAUUAAAUUUUCUACAAAAUGGGGGCCAAACCGGGGCUUAAUCACUAUAUUUGGGUGGGGGCCAACACAUUCAAUCUACGUUAAGUAAGCUAAAAGCCAUUAUCUCGGCCAAAUAAAAAAUAAUAAAACCUUAUAAUUAUGCAAGAGAAAAGUUGUUCAAUUAAUCUUUAAAUAUUUUUCCAGAUUUUAUUCCUAUCUUGGUUGCCAAACAUUAAUGAAAAACAAGUGUGAAUUAAGGUUCUUUACCUUAAAUAGAUAUUUCUUUCCAUUUUGUAUUAAUUAAUUUUAGGACAAAUUAUUCUUGAUGAUUUAUAUAAUUAAGGCCUUAAAAAACUCGAUGGUGUCAUAAUUUAUAUACAUUAGCGCCAACGGGUCUUUGUUCAUAUAUAUGUGAUUCCCGAAUCAAACAUUAUUUUUAAAACAAUAUACAAAUUCAAACACAACCUAAGUGAGAUUCUAUAUUUAUUAAACAAACCUCAUGGGGCUGCAAUUUCUUGCCGUAGAAAACAUUAGGUUGAAUCCCUCCCUUCAUCAUCUCAUCAUCCACAAGUUUGCUGUAGAAGACAACAUCUGCUCAUUUUGCCUGACCAAUAUAAUUGUCAUCUACUCAAGAACAUUUGAAAUUUUGGCAUGCUUAUAAAAGAUUAAUAAUGGAUGAUCUCGUUGAACUAUAUUGUUGUGGUUGGACAACAAGCAUGAUCUACAUGAUAUUAGCAUUAGAGGAUAAUAAUAAUUAAUAUUUUUUCCUGUUAGUUAUUUGUUAGAUAUAUUUCAUGUUCAGUAAAUAUCUAUUAGAUGCACAGGUUUGAAUGAGAAGUUUCCAAAUAUCAACUAAUACCUGUCUUUUCAUCUUUUUGUUUAUGUGGAAACUGUAUUCAGAUGGUAGAAAAGUUGAUCAAUGAGCAUGAAGAAUGUGUAGAAGGUAAAUUUAACUCAAUUAAAAGCCUAAAGGAAACAAAUGCUCCAAGCGUAUCUUUUGUCAGACACGUAACUAUCACUCUCUAAUGACCGAAUAAGUUUUCAUUAUUUGGAUCAAUAUUUUUGCUAUUAAUGAAUUGAGUUUGUUGUUUAUUAAAUGACAACCUUAGAAUGUUUUCUAAGAAGAAAUGAUAAAUAUAUGAGCAUGUUUUCGAAUUGUGAUGUAAAUAUUGAUCAUGCAAGUUUGAUCCAUAUCUUAUCAUUAGCUAAAUAUGAUUGGAGACCAGUUAGAUGACUGUAUAUACAUUUUUAGCCCCUGAUUGGUAGAAAUCAUUUGUUAUCUCUUGAAACCAAUCCACACAUAAGGCCAUACCAAAUUUAUCAACACCACCGCUUACACUCCAUAGAUUAGCCACUAUGUUAGGAGAACCUAUUGAUGAAUACAAAAUAGGAGCACCUUCCGGGGUGUAAAGCCCAUUUAGUUUUAGUUCACCACUUUCGCAUCCUAAUAGUAUUGUAGCCGCACAACCAUUGAGUUCUUGAAUUUUUUCUUUAAGGUCAAUGUUCAACUAUAAAAUGACAAGGUAAAAAUGAAAUUGGGUUUAACGAUUCUCUAGAAAUACAAAGUAGGGGGAAAAAAGAAUACAUACCUGACUAUGCUUUACUUAAACUACUUAUUUGUGAAACUUGAUUUCCAAAGUAACUUUUUUUUUAUUGACAAAUCUUGCUUUUGCUUUUCUCGAACCUACAUUCACAAGUGUUAACUUUUAAGUACAAUCAAAUAUAUUCUAGUUGUUUACCAUCUACAUGGACCGAGCAAACACAGAGGUCGUGAUUUUUCAAAGUUACAAUUAGCUCAUUGUUUGGAAAAAAUAUUUAUACGUACCAUGCAUAGAAAAGUCGAAGAAGAAACUUCAAUCCAAUUUGGCAAAUCUUUGUUUUUCUUAUCAAGUAUGAGAAAUAAAGAACUAGAUUACCUUGCAAUUCUCUUUUUGCAACAAUUUCUCAAAUUUAACCUGUUCACUUCCAACGCAGUCAUUGUUAGGAUUUAUUACAUAAUAUAGGUUGCGAGGAUUUAUCAAUAGAAAUGAUACAGAAUUUGUCGAAAACUACACUUGUUCUUGGCAACGCGUGUGAAUUGUUGCAAGAAUGCUUUCAACAGAUGACAUACGAUAAAUCUCUUCGUUUUCCAAUAUCGACAGAUUCUCCCAUGAAAAUAACUGUAGAAAAUUAUCAAUAUUGCUUAAAUAACCUAUAUUAAAAACGUAAGAUUAUUUAUGAUCAAUAUGACACGAAUCAAUCAAAGAAAUUAUCGAUUAUAUUUAUAUAAAUUACUAUAAUGAAAUGAAAAGCAUAACAUGUUAGAUUCAUUUAUUCGAUUUUCAAAUAUAAAAAUUCUAAUUAAUUGGUUAAAUAGAAACUCUAAAAACUUAUAAAAAUAUAAUAGAAAAUAACAAAAGAAAAUAUUUGAAAGUAAUAAAUUAAAGGUGUGUACUUGAACAUCAUAAUCUAGGAUUGGAAAGAUGAGACUUCUUUUCAUGCAAUCUAUCCCACCGUUAUCGCGUGUUUUUUGUUUUGAACACAGAACUCAAUAGGGAAAUAGAUUUUCCUGGCUUUAUGCCAACAUAACAUCAUUUCGUCAAAAUAUACGGUAAAUAUCUUCCGUCUAUGGACAUAUAUUCUUUCAUAAAUACAAGGUGUUUAGAAUUUGGUCACUGUCCCAACAUGACAUGUUUUCAAGCAUUAAAAUUUCCAACCUUGGGGUUUCACUAUGAAUUUGCUCAAUUAUGUUAGGAACAUUAAUUUAUAGCAGCGAAUUUACAAGUAUUAAAAUUAUGAAUAUUUUUUAUUCAAUUAGGUUUAUGUCAAUGUGUCUUCAUGUAUCAGAAAUACGGAAGCCUUUUGGCUUGGUGCCUGAAAACAUGACAUGUUGGGGUAGAUUAUGUUAGGAACCUUGGUUUAUAGCAACGAAUUUACUAGCAUUAAAAUGAUGAAUUUUUUUUAUUUAAUUAAAUUUUAUGUCAAUGUGUCUUCAUAUAUCAGAGAUAUGAAAGCUUUUUGGCUUGGUGUUUGAAAACAUGCCAUGUUGGGAUGUGGCCAAAUUCUUAACACCUUGUAUUUAGGAAAGAGUACCUAUCUGUAGAUGAAAGAUAUUUACUGUAUAUUUUGAUGAAACGAUGUUAUAUUGGCAUAAAGUCGAUAGUAUCUACAUUCCUAUUGAGUUCUAUGUUCAAAACACGUGAUAACGACGAGAUUGAUUGUGUAAAAAGAAGUCCCAUCAUUCUAAUCCUAGAAUUCGAGGUUCAUGUAUACACACUUAAUUUAUUACUUUCAUGUAUCUUCUUUUGUUUUUUUCUGCUAUGUUUUUAUAAGCUUUUAUUAGAGUUUCUAUAAUUAAUUAAAAUUUUUAUAUUUGAAAAUCAG
rnacentral:lncRNA from 1 species